UACGAAGGGGGCUAGCGUUGUUCGGAAUGACUGGGCGUAAAGGGCGCGUAGGCGGUUUGGCCAGUCAGAUGUGAAAUUCCUGGGCUCAACCUGGGGGCUGCAUUUGAUACGUUCGGACUAGAGUGGGGAAGAGGGUCGUGGAAUUCCCAGUGUAGAGGUGAAAUUCGUAGAUAUUGGGAAGAACACCGGUGGCGAAGGCGGCGACCUGGUCCUUGACUGACGCUGAGGCGCGAAAGCGUGGGGAGCAAACAGG
rnacentral:rRNA from 1 species